UACGGAGGGUCCAAGCGUUGUCCGGAAUCACUGGGUGUAAAGGGUGUGUAGGCGGAUAUGUAAGUCAGGGGUGAAAGCCACCGGCCUAACCGGUGAACUGCCCUUGAUACUGCAUAUCUUGAGUCCUGGAGGGGUCACUAGAAUUCGUGGUGUAGCGGUGAAAUGCGUAGAUAUCACGAGGAAUACCAGAGGCGAAGGCGGGUGACUGGACAGGUACUGACGCUGAGGCACGAAAGCGUGGGGAGCAAACAGG
rnacentral:rRNA from 1 species